AUGGAAAAAUGGUGCGAGAAUGAGUUUGUGAUCUCCGUGAGCGAGACAACCGAUGAGUUCAAGUGCGAGUGUGGGAUGUUUGAGCACUAUGGAAUGGUUUGCAGCCAUGCUCUUAAGGUGAUGAUACACCUAAAACUGCAUGAGCUCCCUGCGAAACAUGUGCUCAAGCGAUGGACAAGAGAUGCAAGAGAUAUACUACUGCUAGAGUAUUUGCGCUACCAGAAGGAUCAUGGGCCGCUCAAACAUUCUUCUCGCCGACACAACACUUUAUACCUCUUGGCACUGGAUGUUGUUAAGUUAGGUGACGGCAAUGUGGAAGCAUAUGCUCUUGCUAUGGAGAAAAUGCGAGAUGUCAAAGUGUAG
rnacentral:rRNA from 1 species